rnacentral:rRNA from 1 species
UACGAAGAGGGCUAGCGUUGCUCGGAAUCACUGGGCGUAAAGGGUGCGUAGGCGGGUCUUUAAGUCAGGGGUGAAAUCCUGGAGCUCAACUCCAGAACUGCCUUUGAUACUGAAGAUCUUGAGUUCGGGAGAGGUGAGUGGAACUGCGAGUGUAGAGGUGAAAUUCGUAGAUAUUCGCAAGAACACCAGUGGCGAAGGCGGCUCACUGGCCCGGUACUGACGCUGAGGUGCGAAAGCGUGGGGAGCAAACAGG